UGGGGAAUCUUGCACAAUGGGCGCAAGCCUGAUGCAGCCAUGCCGCGUGAGUGAUGAAGGCCCUAGGGUUGUAAAGCUCUUUCAGUGGGGAAGAUAAUGACGGUACCCACAGAAGAAGCCCCGGCUAACUCCGUGCCAGCAGCCGCGGUAAUACGGAGGGGGCUAGCGUUGUUCGGAAUUACUGGGCGUAAAGCGCGCGUAGGCGGUUACUCAAGUCAGGGGUGAAAUCCCGGAGCUCAACUCCGGAACUGCCCUUGAAACUAGGUGACUAGAAUCUUGGAGAGGCGAGUGGAAUUCCGAGUGUAGAGGUGAAAUUCGUAGAUAUUCGGAAGAACACCAGUGGCGAAGGCGACUCGCUGGACAAGUAUUGACGCUGAGGUGCGAAAGCGUGGGGAGCAAACAGGAUUAGAUACCCCCGUAGUCC
rnacentral:rRNA from 1 species